CCUACGGGAGGCAGCAGUGAGGAAUAUUGGUCAAUGGCCGUAAGGCUGAACCAGCCAAGUCGCGUGAAGGAAGAUGGAUCUAUGGUUUGUAAACUUCUUUUAUAGGGGAAUAAAGGUAUCCACGUGUGGAUAUUUGCAUGUACCCUAUGAAUAAGCAUCGGCUAACUCCGUGCCAGCAGCCGCGGUAAUACGGAGGAUGCGAGCGUUAUCCGGAUUUAUUGGGUUUAAAGGGUGCGUAGGUUGUUUUUUAAGUCAGCGGUGAAAGUUUGUGGCUCAACCAUAAAAUUGCCGUUGAAACUGGAAGACGUGAGUGUGUUUGAGGUAGGCGGAAUGCGUGGUGUAGCGGUGAAAUGCAUAGAUAUCACGCAGAACUCCGAUUGCGAAGGCAGCUUACUAAGCCAUAACUGACACUGAAGCACGAAAGCGUGGGGAUCAAACAGGAUUAGAUACCCCAGUAGUC
rnacentral:rRNA from 1 species